GCAUUUUCUAUGAUUUAAACACAUUAUUGCUCAUUUACAGCACUGUCUGAGAUUCAUGCAGCGGAUGUCAGAAAUGAUUUGCUUCACAGCUGAUUCCCAGGCAAUUUAUAUUUGUCUGCAGCGCUGAAUACUGUGUUCUGUAGCCCGUACAGUUGAUUUCAUUGAGGGUAAAAAGAAUUUGCGAUUUAUUCAUAUGAGCAGCUGUACAAUUUAUGGCUUUGG